rnacentral:miRNA from 1 species
AAAUUUUCCGACGGAAAAUUCUGUCGGAAAUUUCCGACAGAAAUAUCUGUCAAAAAUAUCCGUCAGAAAUUUCUGACGGAAAAAUCCAUCAGAAAUU